ACGCUCGACACCUACGGNGNGCAGCAGUAGGGAAUCUUCCACAAUGGACGCAAGUCUGAUGGAGCAACGCCGCGUGAGUGAAGAAGGUUUUCGGAUCGUAAAGCUCUGUUGUUGGUGAAGAAGGAUAGAGGUAGUAACUGGCCUUUAUUUGACGGUAAUCAACCAGAAAGUCACGGCUAACUACGUGCCAACAGCCGCGGUAAUCUGAGCGGGCUGGCAAGGC
rnacentral:rRNA from 1 species